rnacentral:misc_RNA from 1 species
CCGAGUUUACAACUCCCAAACCCAAUGUGAACGUUACCAAACUGUUGCCUCGGCGGGGUCACGCCCCGGGUGCGUAAAAGCCCCGGAACCAGGCGCCCGCCGGAGGAACCAACCAAACUCUUUCUGUAGUCCCCUCGCGGGCGUAUUUCUUACAGCUCUGAGCAAAAAUUCAAAAUGAAUCA